GCGGCCUAUCAGCUUGUUGGUGAGGUAAAGGCUCACCAAGGCGACGACGGGUAGCCGGCCUGAGAGGGCGACCGGCCACACUGGGACUGAGACACGGCCCAGACUCCUACGGGAGGCAGCAAUGGGGAAUCUUGCGCAAUGGGCGAAAGCCUGACGCAGCCACGCCGCGUGCGGGAUGAAGGCCUUAGGGUUGUAAACCGCUUUUAACAGGAACGAAAAUGACGGUACCUGUAGAAUAAGGUGCGGCCAACUACGUGCCAGCAGCCGCGGUGACACGUAGGCACCAAGCGUUGUCCGGAUUUAUUGGGCGUAAAGAGCUCGUAGGCGGUUCAGUAAGUCGGGUGUGAAAACUCUGGGCUUAACCCAGAGACGCCACUCGAUACUAUUGUGACUAGAGUUCGGUAGGGGAGACUGGAAUUCCU
rnacentral:rRNA from 1 species